AUCCAAGUGCACGGGCGUUUUCCUUCUCCGUGAAGCGAUCAGCUGAGAGAGGAAUUUUGCUAGUUGAAAACUACUUCAAACCGCUCCUGUUUGGUUUAUCCGGGCAGGGAAUUUUUGGAACCCUUCUUUUUCUUUCAUUGCGAUGGUCUCGUGAAGG
rnacentral:snRNA from 1 species